CAAGUCCACCACGAGUAUCAACAGAAAAAUAGACAUUCUUGAGAACCCGAAAAAUAACCUCGCCUUUUGAAAUAGACAUUGUGAGGAUGCAAAGAAUUUCUGAAUGCAUAAUCUACGACAUGAAGGGGUCUGUUGAAAAGAGUGACUUAAUAUGGCGUAAAGUCAACUGAAGAUCAAGACAAGAUCCCUGAAUGAGUGACGUGUGUUUCCUUGCUAGCAAGUAAUAGUAUUGGAGGCGGAGUAAGCUUGGACGCCUUUCUGUGACCGUUUUUAGGGUCAGGAUGCCGUACAUUUCAUCAGAUGGUCAUGUUGGAGAGCGGAAAGAGUGGAGCCUGGCCACCAUUCCUGAUUUCUUCUGGGGUUUCAUUAACUUCAUUGGGCUCUUCUUCCGCACAUUUAUCAAUCCUGGUGAAGCAAGUCAUGGCAAUUCUCAGACCGGCUUCUAUGGGCCUUCAGGACGCAGGCCACCCCCUGGGCCUUCCCGACGGAGGCUUGGCAGAAUAAGCCAUGGAGGAGAUGAUGGUGUACCUCCCAUGAUGGGUGGUGGAUGAGGUCGGUAGACUCCUGAGCAGCUAGACUGACCUCAGGAGCAAGAGAGUGUGGGUUGUCUGUCUGAGAGUUAGAGGACCUUGCUUGAUUCUGGCACUGAGAGGAGAGUGUGGUAGUUGAGGUAACCUAAUGAGUUUCUUUUCCUCCUAUUUUUCUUCUCAAUGUUAAUAUCAAGUAUUUGGUCACAUAUGAAGUAGUGCCCAGCAAUCCUUGUCCGGUGGGGGUACUGUGGAUGAUAAAGACUCACUCAGAUGAUCCUAUUUGUGUGUAUGUUUGAGAGAUUGGAUGUAUGUACAUAAGUAUAUGGAAACUAGAUUUGAAACAGGUUUCAUAUUGCACCUACAUUUGUAAUAUUCUCAUAGUAGUGUUGAGUCAUCACUUUUCAGUGUUAUCUUUUUACAGUCUAGCUGUGCAAAUGUAUUUGACUUAGAAAAUUAAUUGGUUCCCCCACAUAAGUCCUGCAGUAUAGUAGAAGUAGUAGUAGUACUUCGUAAUGAAAAGAAUAGUAAUAGUAAUAAUCUAUUAACAUUUCUCUAUAGCAGGCCAGCAGUCAUACAUGGGAUGGAUUAGACAAGGCACCCUCCUCCCCUCCCCACACACUCACACAUACUUCAUUCACACGCUUAAUGCCAUCGCCCCCAGUGGAAAGGAACUGUCCUCUGGCUUACUGGGUUAUAUCUCAGUGUGCUACACUUACAUUAUUAUUGUUAUUAUUACUUCUACUACUAUUAUUGUCAGUUAUGAUUAUUAUUAUUACUACUAUUGUCAUUGUUAUGAUGAUUAUUAUUACUUAUUAUCAAUAUUAUUAUUAUCAUUAUUAUCAUUAUUAUAUUACUCAAAACCAUGUGCAUUUUCUUUAUAUACUUUCUUAUUAUUUUAGAAAAGGCUGUGGUUUGUUUUUCCUAGAACAAUGUUAUAUUGUGUAGAAGUACUUAAGGACUGGCCAAGCCUGUGGAGUUGAUAUAGGAUGUUCCCAGUCAUGAAGUUGAUUUAGUUAAGUAAGCAUUCCCCAUCGCAGUUUGUCAUUGCCUCCAUCAGUAGUAACUGACGUUGGCAUGCCACUUAUUACAACACCAAAGAAUUGAUAAUCAGUAAGCGUUUCAUAUUUAUGUACAAACUUUAUACAGUGGCACCUCAGGAUAAAAGUGUCUCCCCUUACCAGCAAAUAAUUUUAGGAGCACAAAAUACUGGGAAAAUUCACCUCGGUAUACGAGCAUUCACUUGAGUUCUGAGUGAGGCUGUGGUUUACCCACGUGGUUCUGGCUGCUGCAUGAUGAAUCACAAUCUCCUCAUGUUACUAUUACAAUAGUAAAACUACCACUUCUAUUGUACAAGGUUAAAAACAUACAGGAAAAAUUUCAAUGGUUUACUUACAAAAAAUGUAGUACAAAUGUACAAACUCUUCCUAUAUGUUUAUGCAUAUUUAGAUGCAUAAUUGUCAAUCAUAAUACAUCAUUAACAUCUCUAUGUACAUAUCAUGUGGUGUGCAUGAAGCAUACAAAAUAUGCAAUGAAUAUCUUUUUAAAAGACUUUCCAUUAUUUGCUAUACACUAUUGCUGAUGUACACUUUGUUUAUACAACUUUAAGCAGUCAGUGUAUCACACCAAGAUCUUGCAACUGAUGAGUAAUGUAACAAGUACUGCACCAAAGAUUAAGAUAGGAAUCCAAAUCCCAAUACAAGUUAUUAAUUAGCCUUCAUAUAUAUAUAUAUAUAUAUAUAUAUAUAUAUAUAUAUAUAUAUAUAUAUAUAUAUAUAUAUAUAUAUAUAUAUAUAUAUAUAUAUAUAUAUAUAUAUAUCAAUUUAGAAUAAAGAAGAAAUAAUUAUAUGAUAUAGAAUAAUUAGGAAAUAAAGUUAAUUUCAGAAGACAGGAGAUACAAAAUUGACAUUAUUAAGGAAAAUAUAUAUGAAGGUUUAUUUUCAUUACUAAAACAAAUAUUUAAUUUUCUGAAAAGUGACUGCUUUACAAAUGCAUAGAAAAAGUGUAUACUUUAUUUAUCCUUGGAAGUCUUGUUGGUAGUUCGUAUCAUCUUGGCCAUCAUGUCCCACUGCUCAGGAGUGACUCUGUUCAACAAGUUGAACUCGCCAGCCAUGUAGCGGAACUCUCCUCCAUCUUGACCAACAGUCUGUUAUAAGAUAGCAUAAAAGAGAUGUCAAACUCACAGUGUCUUGUGUGUCUACUGUACUGGCUGGCAAUCAUACAUGAAAUAACCCAGACAAAGCACCACACAUUUUAUACACAUCAUCCACACACCACCAUUGGCCCCAGGUGGAAAGGGAUAGUCUCAUGAACAGCUCUACUGCACUGCAGGAUAUAUGUAUGUAGGAUAUUAAAAUUGGUACAGCAAGGAUAGAAGUCAAUAUUUCAAGACUCAAACACUGUACUUAACUCAAAGGAUAAUGUUUUGAUGCUGCUUCAUGUCACCAGAUCCCGAGUCUUGUUAAAAGGAAUUAACUGGUGGUGUCUCACAAAAUGGUAUUUGCUAUAUUUAAAGGAAAUGGGCUGGGAGUGUUAAAGCUAUGAGGUUAAGUGGUAGUACAUGAUGCUUCUUAUAUGUGAACUGGCAUGGAGAUAAGAAUUACCAUAUAAAUGAAGACAGUUAUGUAUUAUAUCAUAAAGAUUGCAAGAACAAGGGUAAUAGUUAUAUAAGGGAUUAUGUUUGCUUAGUAAGCUGGGAAAAGUUUGCAGGACUUAAAGACUGAUGGAAGUGAAAUGAAUCAGGUGAAGGUCAGUGAAGAGCAAAGAAAGUGAGAUUUUUGUAAAAUGAAAGUGUGAAAAGUUGCAUGCAGCACACAUAGUAGGGAGGAUAGGUAAGUCCAUUACAAUGUCCCUCACUCCAAAAGGUAUGGUAUGAAAAGAUGGGUUAAAAUCAUCACAAUCAAAGACUGCACAUGGUAUCUAACUAUUUUAAUAUACUAUGAUUCUUGCUUAGAAGACAGAAGUAAUUUUCUUCAGAAAGCUCUACUGGAAUUCACUGAGUGUAUGUAUUGAGACAAAACUAUUCACUAUAUUCCAUGUACAUUUCAAGAAAGCAUUUGGAUCAACAACUUUCCCUCAGAAAGUUCACCUGGUAGUCAUUAGUUAAAACUUAAACAAAAGUACAUGGUUAAUCAUUCACCAUGUAAUAUGAACUUUUCAAAAUUUUGCUUAAAAUCCACUCCACCUUAUACUAAACACCCUCUUAUUAUUUAGAGAUGGCCUCUAUUUUGUUGUGAAUAUCAACAACAGGACUGUUUACCAUUUUGGCUCCUAAAUGAUCCUGCAAUUAAACUGAUUAUCUAAUAUCUUCUUCCAACUGUUACAGAAUGUGCAUUCAUGCUUGCAUACUCAUAAAUAACAGCAACAACUCUACUGGCAAUAGUUUGCAUGACUGCCACCAUGCAUAUAGAUUUCAUACAACACAAUGUUUUUCAAAAGCAAUUUCAACAAAUAUUUCUUACUAUGUUUUGAGUCAGUCUGAGAAUGACAUUGUUACCAACAGUGCUGACUACUUUCCUCCUGUAUCAAACCUUUUAACACUUCACUGCAACUCCACAGCUUAAGUUUAUCCAUUUGUUUAUUUACUAUAAGAAGUGAGUAAAUAUUGAAAUCCAGGAAAAUUAGAUAAUGUUGUAUAGAUAGAGGUAUUUGCUUGGAAUAUAAUACAGCAAACACUAAAAAAAGGAAAAUGAAGAUUGAAACUAACAAACCCCUAAAGGUAAUCUAAGGAUGCCAGCAUGCAAUGAACUCUGUUGUUAUAAGCAUCAAAGAUUCACUGGAUGCUGUGGAAAGUCAGUAAAAAUGUUAAUGACAUGCAAGCACAAAAGUAUUCCAUGGUUCAGUGUACAAAAGUAACAAAUGAUAGCAAGUC
rnacentral:misc_RNA from 1 species